rnacentral:rRNA from 2 species
GACGAACGCUGGCGGCGUGCCUAAUACAUGCAAGUCGAACGAACUCUGGUAUUGAUUGGUGCUUGCAUCAUGAUUUACAUUUGAGUGAGUGGCGAACUGGUGAGUAACACGUGGGAAACCUGCCCAGAAGCGGGGGAUAACACCUGGAAACAGAUGCUAAUACCGCAUAACAACUUGGACCGCAUGGUCCGAGCUUGAAAGAUGGCUUCAGCUAUCACUUUUGGAUGGUCCCGCGGCGUAUUAGCUAGAUGGUGGGGUAACGGCUCACCAUGGCAAUGAUACGUAGCCGACCUGAGAGGGUAAUCGGCCACAUUGGGACUGAGACACGGCCCAAACUCCUACGGGAGGCAGCAGUAGGGAAUCUUCCACAAUGGACGAAAGUCUGAUGGAGCAACGCCGCGUGAGUGAAGAAGGGUUUCGGCUCGUAAAACUCUGUUGUUAAAGAAGAACAUAUCUGAGAGUAACUGUUCAGGUAUUGACGGUAUUUAACCAGAAAGCCACGGCUAACUACGUGCCAGCAGCCGCGGUAAUACGUAGGUGGCAAGCGUUGUCCGGAUUUAUUGGGCGUAAAGCGAGCGCAGGCGGUUUUUUAAGUCUGAUGUGAAAGCCUUCGGCUCAACCGAAGAAGUGCAUCGGAAACUGGGAAACUUGAGUGCAGAAGAGGACAGUGGAACUCCAUGUGUAGCGGUGAAAUGCGUAGAUAUAUGGAAGAACACCAGUGGCGAAGGCGGCUGUCUGGUCUGUAACUGACGCUGAGGCUCGAAAGUAUGGGUAGCAAACAGGAUUAGAUACCCUGGUAGUCCAUACCGUAAACGAUGAAUGCUAAGUGUUGGAGGGUUUCCGCCCUUCAGUGCUGCAGCUAACGCAUUAAGCAUUCCGCCUGGGGAGUACGGCCGCAAGGCUGAAACUCAAAGGAAUUGACGGGGGCCCGCACAAGCGGUGGAGCAUGUGGUUUAAUUCGAAGCUACGCGAAGAACCUUACCAGGUCUUGACAUACUAUGCAAAUCUAAGAGAUUAGACGUUCCCUUCGGGGACAUGGAUACAGGUGGUGCAUGGUUGUCGUCAGCUCGUGUCGUGAGAUGUUGGGUUAAGUCCCGCAACGAGCGCAACCCUUAUUAUCAGUUGCCAGCAUUAAGUUGGGCACUCUGGUGAGACUGCCGGUGACAAACCGGAGGAAGGUGGGGAUGACGUCAAAUCAUCAUGCCCCUUAUGACCUGGGCUACACACGUGCUACAAUGGAUGGUACAACGAGUUGCGAAUUCGCGAGAGUAAGCUAAUCUCUUAAAGCCAUUCUCAGUUCGGAUUGUAGGCUGCAACUCGCCUACAUGAAGUCGGAAUCGCUAGUAAUCGCGGAUCAGCAUGCCGCGGUGAAUACGUUCCCGGGCCUUGUACACACCGCCCGUCACACCAUGAGAGUUUGUAACACCCAAAGUCGGUGGGGUAACCUUUUAGGAACCAGCCGCCUAAGGUGGGACAGAUGAUUAGGGUG